rnacentral:sRNA from 12 species
GCUUUCAACAUCCCCGUUCCGGUAAAGACGCUGUGGGUUGCGGAAGAUCGCAAUGCAUGGCGCGUCCGGAGCUGAAAGC